rnacentral:tRNA from 1 species
GGGUCUUUAGCUCAGUUGGUUAGAGCAUCCGGCUCAUAACCGGGCGGUCCCGGGUUCAAGUCCCUGAAGACCCA